rnacentral:rRNA from 1 species
AUUGAACGCUGGCGGCAUGCCUUACACAUGCAAGUCGAACGGUAACAGGUUAAGCUGGCGAGUGGCGAACGGGUGAGUAAUGUAUCGGAACGUGCCCAGUCGUGGGGGAUAACUGCUCGAAAGAGCAGCUAAUACCGCAUACGACCUGAGGGUGAAAGCGGGGGAUCGCAAGACCUCGCGCGAUUGGAGCGGCCGAUAUCAGAUUAGGUAGUUGGUGGGGUAAAGGCCUACCAAGCCUACGAUCUGUAGCUGGUCUGAGAGGACGACCAGCCACACUGGGACUGAGACACGGCCCAGACUCCUACGGGAGGCAGCAGUGGGGAAUUUUGGACAAUGGACGCAAGUCUGAUCCAGCCAUGCCGCGUGCGGGAAGAAGGCCUUCGGGUUGUAAACCGCUUUUAUCAGGGAAGAAAAGGUUCUGGUUAAUACCUGGGACUCAUGACGGUACCUGAAGAAUAAGCACCGGCUAACUACGUGCCAGCAGCCGCGGUAACAC